rnacentral:sRNA from 2 species
UAAUGCCUUUGUUUGGCCAAGCUAUGUGCAAAUAUCACAAAUUAAUAAAUUUGGUUAAGCAGUUAGGCUGGACCUAAUAUUUUAGAAAAACCUAAUUUUUUUUGUGGACCCAUUUUCGAUAUUUACUCACAAAUGGAAUUCAAGGGGAACAACUUCGGUCUCAGCACUUUAAUUAUUCUUCUCGUUCCCACCUAAUUUCGCAAUUUAUUGUCCUUGACUUCUACCACGAGAAAAAAAUUAAGAAAAUGCAACGCUGCCCGUGCAGGGUUUUCUGAGCGGGAUGAAAAAAAUCAGACAAAUAUCCAAGUUAUGAGUAAUUACUUUGUUGGAAGGAGGGAGCAGAGCAUAAGGAAAUUCUUAAAACUGUUAUGUAUAUAAAGGAAGAACCAUUUCUAGUUAUUUCACUUUUUGAUACUUGUCAACUAUCUUAGUAAAAAUACAGAACUCUAUAAAGAACCACAGAAAAAUCGACAGCAAUGACAAGCAUUGACAUUAACAACUUACAAAAUACCUUUCAACAAGCUAUGAAUAUGAGCGGCUCCCCAGGCGCUGU